GGCGGCGCUCUGCUGUAGGAGAGGGAGUUCGGGGUGGUCAACAGGGGUGCCUAUGCCUGAGGGCCCUGCCCUGGUUGGGGGAGGCCAGGGCCUCCCUGCGGGUAGCUGGGGCUGCUGAGCUACCGGCUGCUGCCGUGGCAGAGCCCCCUCGGAGGAAGCUGCCCUUGCAGUGGAGAGGCAGGGGCCGGCCCGUUCCAGGAGAGCUGGCCUGGAGGCCGUGCCUAGGGCCUGGCUGGAGCCGGGCUGUGUCAAGGCCAAGCCGCCUCAAUGAGCCCUCCCCGGGAGGGGCUGGAGCAGCAUAUUCUGAUGAGCUUGAGACUAAGAUGAGGAGACUAGAGCAGACUGGUCACCAAGUUGGCUUCUCUGCGAUACCCAGCGGGGACCCGCUCUUAAAUGACUUUCAAGCUGGCUGGUCUCCAGUCUGGGUCUUUGUAGGAGCCCUCCAUCUCCUGUGUGUGUUCGAGGUCUCCACCUGCUGCUGUCCCGGAGGUCUCCAGACUUGAACUUUUUAUGGAGCUGUGUUGGGUUUGCAUGGCAAGGUUUUGGUAGCGGGGGGGCUACAGGGGUGGCUUCUGUGAGAAGCUGCUAGAAGCUUCCCCUGUGUCUGAUAGAGCCAAUGCCAGCCGGCUCCAAGACGGACCCGCCGCUGGCCAAGGCCAAGCUAAUCAGCGCCUCUGUGAUAACAUAUUUAAGAAGAAGAAAAACAUUUAGAGAGAGAGCUUUUGCAGCCGGAGAGAGGAGUGAGAAGAUGUAAGAAACUCUGCAGACACCAAGGCCAGUGCAGAAGGAGGGGCAGGAGGUGCUCCAGACACCAGAGCAGAGAUCCCCCUGCAGCCCAUGGUGAAGACCAUGGUGAAGCAGGCUGUCCCCCUGCAGCCCAUGGAGGAAGGAUGGGGGGUGUAGAGAUUCCACCUGCAGCCCAUGGAGGACCCCACACUGGAGCAGGUGGAGGCACCUGAAGGAGGCUGUGGACCAUGGGAAGCCCGCACUGGAGCAAGCUCCUGGCAGGACCUGUGGCCCCGUGGAGAGAGGAGCCCACGCCAGAGCAGGUUUGCUGGAAGGACUUGUGACCCUGUGGGGGACCCACGCUGGAGCAGUCUGCUCCUGAAGGUCUGCACCCUGUGGGAGAGACUCACGUUGGAGCAGUUGGUGAAGGACUGUCUCCCAUGAGAGGGACUCCUCCAUGCUGGAGCAGGGGAAUGUUGAGAGGAGUCCUCCCCCUGAGGAGGAACAAGCAGCAGUAACAACAUGUGAUGAACUGACCACAACCCCCAUUCCCCGUCCCCCUGUGCUGCUGAGGGGGGGCGGAGGUUGAAGCCGGGAGUGAAGUUGACCCUGGGAAGAUGGGAGGGGUGGGGGGAGGUGUUUUAAGAUUUGAUUGUAUUUCUCAUUCCUCUACUCUGUUUGCUUAGUAAUAAGUUAGAUGAAUUUCUUCUCUAAGUUCAGUCUGUUUUGCUCGUGACGAUAACUAGUGAGUGAUCUCUCCCUGUCCUUAUCUCGACCCAGAAGCUUUUUGUUAUACUUUUUCUCCCCUGUCUGGUGACCAAGGGACAUGAUAGAGCAGCUCUGGUGGGCACCUGGCCCCCAGCCAGGGUCAACCCACCACAACCCUCCAAAAUAGAUGGUGAUUCCCCAGCAUUUCACAAGGCCCUGCACACAGGGAGGACCCUCCCUCAAUCCCAGGAGUUAUGCAAAGUCCAUUCCCCUUACAAAUAUCCUUCCAUUCCCCCAGCUUGCCUCUUAGUUUCCUCAAUUUCUUGCCUCACAGCAAUGCUGCAGAGCUGGGCCCUGGCUCCCACACAGUCUCACUACCUCCCUCUUGGGUUUCCUGUACAUGCAUUUUACCAAAGCCUCGCACUUCUCAGCUUGAAUGGCUUAAAAUGCAUUACAAGAAAGCUAUGGAGUAUUCUGAGACAAACUCCCUAUUUCAUUUAUUCUCCAAAAUCUCCAACAUGAGGUUCCCUGCUCGGGGAAAACCUUCUCCCAGGCUGGGAAACAACCCAGUGCGAGGUGUAAGUGCCCAUCAGCCGUGCCCGGGGGCUGCAAGCCAGGUCUGUCACACCAAACCCUGGGCAAAAAAACCCCAAAACACCACCACCAGCUGUUCCUGGUACAGUCCAGCCCCCAUGAGAUGAAGGGAUGAGGUGCCACUGAGUGGGUGAGCCACCUCCGGGCGUGGGCAAGCUGCUGCCGGGUGCGAUCGCACCCACAAUGCUGGGCCCAGGUGUCCCGGAGUGGGGGAGACCGGAAGCAGGACCCGAGCAUCCCCGGUGCCAGGGGUGGGGGGAGCCAGCCUUCCCCAGGCCAGGAGCCACUAGAGAGCAAUAGCUGUAUGUCCCACACCCACAGCAGCUGAAGGCCAGCCAGGGAGCAGCUGAGGGACCCCCAGGGAUGCACAGGGACUGCUUGGGUGUCCACAGGGACACACCAGGGCAUCUUUCCUGAAGAUUAAAAAAAAAACCAACAAGUCUUUUUGAACUUUUCUGCUCAGUGGGUAAGGGAGACACACCUUUAGCACCCAGGACAUCCCAGAUGCUCCCAGGCUAUUGCAGCUCAGAGCCACCACUCCAACACAAAGCAGAGAGACACAGCCCCAGGUGAGCUGCUUUUUAUCCCCUGCUAAUUAGGCUAAUUUAGGGAAAACCUGUUCCUGCCCAAGAUAGGCAGGUGUCAGCAGUUACUUUCCACCUUGCAAGAAAUACUAGAGCCACUCUGGUGUGCCUCUGAGUUUUGUGGGGAUGUAUUUCCUCGCUCCCACAAUGCUCCCAUCACCUCUCCAUUGGGCAUUCCCUUUGCCCCAGGCCUGGAAGCUGGUUGCUCCCCAGUAUGACCCUUUGCUCUCUGUUACCCUGUGGGGAAGGGCCUGCUCUGCUGCUUCCCCUCCACCACGCUGUUACCGGAAAGCGGCAAAAGAAUUCACUCUCUAAGGCUUAUUUGGAAGUUUUAGAAAGCAGGCAUUCUUUAUUGCAGUGCUGGGUGCACGGGGGAUAACUCCACCUAAGGUGCACACCCAAAAGACAAAACUAGCAAGUACUUCUACUAUGUUCAUAGACAUAUUCAGUAUCUUUCCCAGUAGUGCUUAUCACAGGCAGGGAUCUUCCUUGGGAACUCGUUAGCAUAUGCUAAUGUCUUUCCCCCAUGUUUGUUGACACCUCGGGGGUCUUCAGACUCACUCCUGGUAUCACAUAUACCUUAUCCCUCAAGGCCGGUUUUGGGAUCACCUUGUAACUCUCUUAUCUUUUUUUGCACAUCUGUUCUUCCAAGG